UGCGUAGGCGGCCAGGCAAGUAGGAUGUGAAAUCUUCCGGCUCAACCGGAAAACUGCGUUCUAAACUGCCUGGCUUGAGUGAGAUAGGGGUGUGCGGAACUUCCAGUGGAGCGGUGAAAUGUGUUGAUAUUGGAAGGAACGCCGUUAGCGAAAGCGGCACACUGGGUCUCAACUGACGCUGAGGCACGAAAGCCAGGGUAGCGAACG
rnacentral:rRNA from 1 species